rnacentral:misc_RNA from 1 species
GAUGAAGAACGUAGCGAGAUGCGAUAAGUAAUGUGAAUUGCAGAAUUCAGUGAAUCAUCGAAUCUUUGAACGCACCUUGCGCCCUUUGGCCAUUCCGAAGGGCAUGCCUGUUUGAGUAUCAUGAACACCUCAACUCUCAUGGCUUGCCAUGAUGAGCUUGGACUUUGGGGGUCUUGCUGGCCUGUGGUCGGCUCCUCUCAAAUGAAUCAGCUUGCCAGUGUUUGGUGGCAUCACAAGUGUGAUAACUAUCUGCGCUCGUGGUUUCCAUCAGAUAACCUCCAGUGAUGGAGGUUCGCUGGAGCUCAUAAAUGUCUCUCCUAAGCGAGGACAGCUCUUUUAAUGUUUGAUCUCAAAUCAGGUAGGACUACCCGCUGAACUUAAGCAUAUCAAUAAGCGGAGGA